rnacentral:rRNA from 1 species
UACGUAGGGGGCAAGCGUUGUCUGGAUUUAUUGGGCGUAAAGAGCGUGUAGGCGGCCUUACAGGUCAGCUGUGAAAACUCGAGGCUCAACCUCGAGACGUCGGUUGAAACCGUAAGGCUAGAGUCCGGAAGAGGAGAGUGGAAUUCCCGGUGUAGCGGUGAAAUGCGCAGAUAUCGGGAAGAACACCCGUGGCGAAGGCGGCUCUCUGGGACGGUACUGACGCUGAGACGCGAAAGCGUGGGGAGCGAACAGG